GGGGCUGUUCUGGCUUUUGACGGGUUGGCCGAUAGAUGUGUAAGCAUGUAGAGCGUUGAAAGUGCGGCUCUUAAAUCUCGACUUUCAAAACACAACCGGCGAAAACAACUUCGCAAUGGCUGCGUAGUCUUAGAGACUAGAGCAAAUGCCAUCCGCUUGCCCAAGUCAUGUCUCGGAUACGAGGGAUCACAAGCGGUCGAUAAUCUGAGAUAAUUUUAGCCUAUUUCUACCACGUUAAAAUUUAUUAUGUAGGAUAAGGAUUGGUUGGGUUUUUGACCCACCUGACCCAUCUCGAAAACCAAGGGACAAUAAACAUGUAGAAAACGCAAUUCUAUUCCAAUUCGGACCCGAGUUCGACUCUCGGCAGCUCCACCA
rnacentral:tmRNA from 1 species